AACGAACGCUGGCGGCAGGCUUAACACAUGCAAGUCGAACGCCCCGCAAGGGGAGUGGCAGACGGGUGAGUAACGCGUGGGAACAUACCCUUUUCUACGGAAUAGCUCUGGGAAACUGGAAUUAAUACCGUAUACGCCCUACGGGGGAAAGAUUUAUCGGGGAAGGAUUGGCCCGCGUUGGAUUAGCUAGUUGGUGGGGUAAAGGCCUACCAAGGCGACGAUCCAUAGCUGGUCUGAGAGGAUGAUCAGCCACAUUGGGACUGAGACACGGCCCAAACUCCUACGGAAGGCAGCAGUGGGGAAUAUUGGACGAUGGGCGCAAGCCUGAUCCAGCCAUGCCGCGUGAGUGAUGAAGGCCUUAGGGUUGUAAAGCUCUUUCACCGAUGAAGAUAAUGACGGUAGUCGGAGAAGAAGCCCCGGCUAACUUCGUG
rnacentral:rRNA from 1 species